UUACAGCCAUAUCACAUAGAAACUACCAGCUCUCGUACGGUCACCGAAGUUAAGCAACAUCGAACAAGGUUAGUACCCAGAUGGAUGACCGCUUGGGAAUACCAG